rnacentral:rRNA from 1 species
UACGUAGGGUGCAAGCGUUAAUCGGAAUUACUGGGCGUAAAGCGUGCGCAGGCGGCUUUGCAAGACAGAUGUGAAAUCCCCGGGCUCAACCUGGGAACUGCAUUUGUGACUGCAAGGCUAGAGUACGGUAGAGGGGGAUGGAAUUCUGCGUGUAGCAGUGAAAUGCGUAGAUAUGCGGAGGAACACCGAUGGCGAAGGCAAUCCCCUGGACCUGUACUGACGCUCAUGCACGAAAGCGUGGGGAGCAAACAGG